CCUACGGGUGGCAGCAGUGGGGAAUAUUGGACAAUGGGGGCAACCCUGAUCCAGCCAUGCCGCGUGUGUGAAGAAGGCCCUCGGGUUGUAAAGCACUUUCAGUGAGGAAGAACGCCUGGUGGUUAAUACCCAUCAGUAAAGACAUCACUCACAGAAGAAGCACCGGCUAACUCCGUGCCAGCAGCCGCGGUAAUACGGAGGGUGCGAGCGUUAAUCGGAAUUACUGGGCGUAAAGCGCGCGUAGGUGGCUUGAUAAGCCGGUUGUGAAAGCCCCGGGCUCAACCUGGGAACGGCAUCCGGAACUGUCAAGCUAGAGUGCAGGAGAGGAAGGUAGAAUUCCCGGUGUAGCGGUGAAAUGCGUAGAGAUCGGGAGGAAUACCAGUGGCGAAGGCGGCCUUCUGGACUGACACUGACACUGAGGUGCGAAAGCGUGGGUAGCAAACAGGAUUAGAUACCCGUGUAGUC
rnacentral:rRNA from 1 species